ACUAUUUGAUAAUCAACCAAAACGACAAACAAAACCGUUUUCAAGACCUCAUUUAUGUUUUCGCAAUUGUAGAUUAUAAAAAAAUUGUGAGAAAGUAAUCCUUUCCAACAAAAAAACCAAAAAAAAAAAAAGUUAGGGUUAGACAUACAAGUAGUUCUAUUUGUGGGUUUGAACAUUCCAAGAAACCUAACAUCAUCUCGUGCUUUGAAUUCCACCAUACCCAAAACUUUAAAAUUGGGGCUUACUUUCAGGUAAGACUAGCUGAAUAAUCGUUUGUUAAAAGUUUGGAUUAUCAAUAAACUUUGCCCAAAAUGAUCAGAAAAAAUUUAUAUACAAAAACGAUGGUGCUACAAACUUACAAUGUUAGGGUUCUUGGUCGACGGGGCAGCAAGAAGAGCCGCUGUGUGAACCAAAUGAUAAAGAGACGCCGUUUGCCAAACCUUCACAACGUUGAAACCAAACCAACAAUCAAAAUCAAAUCGAAGAACAAAUCAUAGAAAUCGAAUCAAAGAUGAAGCAAAUCAACCUCUUUAUAAGCUGGAUUUUUGGGUUUGAAACCAUGAGCGCCGUACGUGCCCAAUCCGAGAGCUGCAACGCCUGUUUAAAGCGAAAAUCAAAUCACAAAUCGAAAAUCAUAAUCGCGAAGCAACAACAAGAGAAUCGAAGGGAGAACCACUUUACCAGAAAUCGCAGCAACUUUGUGCCAGUAAAGUGGGUUCAUCUUGUUCUUUGCUUUUGGGUUUGCUUCGACGAGGGAUUUUGUGAAAGAACCUGAAGAUUUGACCGGCGCUGUUCAUCUGACCGGUCAAUGGGUUGACUUUUCUAAGCAAAAGAACCAAAGUGUGGAGCAGUUCGUCGGGAGUAGCAGCCGGAUCGAGAUCCCAACAAUGUUCAGGCAAGUUAUUAGCUUCUCCCUUCAGUAAAUAAGAGGGUACCUGGUGGGAAAACC